rfam:Culex pipiens quinquefasciatus supercont3.347 genomic scaffold, whole genome shotgun sequence.
GGCUCCAUGGCUUAAUGGUUACGGCUUCUGCCUAACACGCAGAAGGUUCAGGGAUCAAAUCCCGGCCGGUACCU